rnacentral:rRNA from 1 species
UACGUAGGGUGCAAGCGUUGUCCGGAUUUAUUGGGCGUAAAGAGCUCGUAGGCGGUCUGGCACGUCGGCUGUGAAAACUCGGGGCUCAACCUCGAGCCUGCAGUCGAUACGGGCAGACUAGAGUGCUGUAGGGGAGACUGGAAUUCCUGGUGUAGCGGUGAAAUGCGCAGAUAUCAGGAGGAACACCGGUGGCGAAGGCGGGUCUCUGGGCAGUAACUGACGCUGAGGAGCGAAAGCGUGGGGAGCGAACAGG